rnacentral:rRNA from 1 species
UACGUAGGAUGCAAGCGUUGUCCGGAAUUACUGGGCGUAAAGAGCGCGCAGGCGGUUUUACAAGUCAGAUGUGAAAGAGGCCGGCUUAACCGGCAAGGGUCAUUUGAAACUGUCAGACUAGAGUGCAGCAUAGGAUAGUGGAAUUCCCGGUGUAGUGGUGAAAUGCGUAGAUAUUGGGAGGAACACCAGUGGCGAAGGCGACUAUCUGGGCUGCAACUGACGCUGAGGCGCGAAGGCCAGGGGAGCAAACGGG